UUUGUCCCCAGCGCCGAGCCGUCUCCCCGCCCCCGCCGCUGCCAUGGCGGCAGCUCCGCCGCUCUCCAAGGCCGAGUAUCUGAAGCGUUACUUGUCUGGGGCAGGUGCCGGCGUCGACGGGGGCCCGGACUCCGGUCGCAAGCGUCGCAAAAAGCGGCCGAAGCCUGGCGGGGCCGGCGGCAGGGGAAUGCGGAUUGUGGAUGAUGAUGUGAGCUGGACAUCUAUCUCUACCACUAAACCAGAAAAAGAGGAAGAAGAUGAUGAUGGAGAUUUGCCUGUGGUGGCUGAGUUUGUGGAUGAGCGGCCGGAAGAGGUAAAGCAGAUGGAAGCCUUUCGUUCCAGUGCCAAAUGGAAGCUUCUAGGAGGCCACAGUGAAGAUCUACCCUCAAAUAGACACUUCCGUCACGACUCUCCGGAUUCAUCUCCCCCAAGGAGGGUCCGUCAUGACACCCCAGAUUCAUCUCCCACCAGGAGGGCCCAUCAUGAUACCCCGGAUUCAUCUCCCCCAAGGAGGGUCCGUCAUGACACCCCAGAUUCAUCUCCCCCCAGGAGGAUCCGUCACGACACCCCAGAUUCAUCUCCUCCCAGGAGGGUCCAUCACGACACCUCGGAUUCAUCUCCUAGGAGGGCCCGUCACGACACUCCGGAUUCAUCCCCUCCCAGGAGGGUUCGUCACGACACCCCGGAUUCAUCUCCUCCCAGGAGGGUCCAUCAUGACAUCCCAGAUUCAUCUCCUCCCAGGAGGGUCCGUCACGAUACCCCAGAUUCCUCUCCCCUAAGGAGGGUCCGUCAUGACACCCCGGAUUCAUCUCCUCCCAGGAGGGUCCGUCAUGACACCCCAGACCCAUCUCCUCCCAGGAGGGCCCAUCAUGCUUCUCUAGAUCCUUCUCCCCUCAGGAAGCCUCAUCGUCACUAUUCAGGUGCGUCUCCUAGGAAAGCCCAUCAUGACACACCAGAUCCAUCUCUUUCUAGGAGGGCCCAUCAUAGUUCCUCAGAUAGCUCUGUUUCCAGAAGGGCCCGAAAUAGCUCCCCUGACACAUCUCAACCUAGAAGGACUCUUGACUCCUUGGACACAUUGCAGCUCAAGAGGGCUCGUCAUGACUCCCCUGAUUUAGCUGCUAAUGUCCCUCAUCCACUGCCCAGAACCAAAAGCAGUAAAGCCCCAGAAAGAGCCUCUAGCAAAACUUCUCCACAUUGGAAGGAGCCAGGACCAUCUCAUGCACCACUCCCAAAGAACAGCAAGUAUGAGUAUGACUCUGACCUCUCUCCUCCACGAAAAAAGCAAGCAAAAUCCCAUAAGCAUGAUUCUAAGGGCUCUUCCCCCAGCCAUAGGAAAUUUCAUAUGAGUUCUUCACCUAGGAGACAUCAGAGUCACAUAUUGGACACUUCCUCCUACCCAAGUGACAGUCGGAAAGCCUCUGAUUCAGAUCUUUCUCCUCCGAGGCAUAAACAAAUUUCAGGGCACAAGGAUUCUGAUUCAGAUCUGUCACCUCCACGGAAUAGACCUACACGUCGGAGCUCUGAUUCUGACCUGUCUCCACCAAGGAGGAAACAGAAGGUCAAAUCUUCUGAUUCUGAUCUGUCUCCACCUCGAAGGAGUCAGCCUCUAGGAAAGAAGGCUACACACAUGUAUUCUGGGGCUAAAACUGGGUUGGUGUUAACUGACAUACAGCAAGAGCAGCAGGAGCUCAAGAAACGGGACCAAGAAACUCUGGCGUUCGAAGCUGAAUUCCAGUAUGCUGAAACUGUAUUUCGAGAUAAGUCUGGCCGUAAGAGGAAUUUGAAACUGGAACGUUUAGAGCAAAGGAGAAAAGCAGAGAAGGACUCGGAGAGAGAUGAGCUGUAUGCUCGGUGGGGAAAAGGGCUAGUCCAGAGCCGGCAGCAACAACAAAACGUGGAGGAUGCAGUGAAGGAAAUGCAGAAGCCGCUGGCCCGUUAUAUUGAUGAUGAAGAUCUGGAUCGGAUGCUGAGAGAACAGGAAAGAGAGGGAGACCCCAUGGCCAACUUUAUCAAGAAGAAUAAAGCCAAGGAGAACAAGAAUAAGAAAGUGAGACCUCGCUACACUGGUCCUGCACCUCCUCCCAACAGAUUCAAUAUCUGGCCUGGUUAUCGCUGGGAUGGAGUGGACAGCCUCUCCGGAAUCUUCAUGGGUGUCUGACCUGCAUUUGGUGACAGCCCAAGUGGUCCCCUCUCACUGCCAGAAACAGCUGGAGACCCUAACAGCCAAGGACCCUGCUGACCUGAGAUACACAGGAUGUGAAACACAAUGCUCCCUUGCCUUCUUGAAUUUAGUAUUACUGUUGAGAAGACCACUCCAGUUUCUGAUACAUUGAUGGUGACCUCUCCCUUUUUUUUCUUUUGAAUUUUAUUUUAUUUUAGUGUUCUGCAAUUUCAUAAUGAUAUGUCUUAGCAUGAAUUUAUUUCAUUGAUCGUACUUUGGCACAUGGUGAACCCUUCCAGUCUGGAAAUUCAUGCUCUUUGGUUUUGGGAAAGUUUCAUGAACUAUUUUAUUGAAGAUUUUUUUUCUUGAUCUCUUGUAAUUUCAUAUUGAAUCUUCUCAACUUGUGUUCUAAUUUUCUUAUUUUUUCCUCUCCUAUUUUCUAUUCAUUUUGCUCCCCUCUGCUGCUGGCUUUGCAAAAUGAUUGCACAGGUCAGGCUAUAAAAUAGGCCAUCUGGCCUCCCUCCCAUUUUCUGGGACCUCCACACUGCUUCAGCUGCCCUAGUUUCUUCCCCCUUCCCUGUCCUCAAGGCUAGGAAGGAUGAGAAUCUGCACUGAAGGACUGUUGUCCACUCGUCCCCAGGGAUCUACUCUACUCCCCUCCCUGGGAAGGCCUGUGAACUCAGGUCUUGAACCUGUGUGUUCAUGCUCUUCAGUGCUUAAUGCACCUGCCUCACAGGUGUCCCUGGGUUGCACUUGACCCUCACAUCUGGGGGCUGGGACAAUAUAGAAUGUUCCUGGGUGGGAUCCCUGGG